GCCUCAAACCUAGUCCAGUCUUUCCCACUAAUACAAAAUAAACAAACCAAAACAUUUGGCAAGGUUAGUAAUGGGGAUUAAAAGCCGUCCUCGGCACCAUAGUCUACGUACCGAAAGGGAGCGUUGAAAAAAGUGAAAAGAAAGAAGCAAAAGAAAGCAGAGAUAAACCCUCGUACCUCUUGCAUCAUGGUUUAACAAGAAACCCCCAACAAUAGGAACAUCAGUUGGCCAACCCGAAACCAAGUGAGCUACUUCCAAGCAGCCUACAGAGCACACCCAUUUCUGUAGCAAAAGAAUGGGAAGACUUAGAAGUAGCGGUGAAACGCCUACCGAACUUGGCGAUAGCUGGUUGUUCAAAACAGGACUUUAGUCCCACUUUGGAACCACGAGCACGAAAAGCUUAACCAAAAGAAAAUCUUUAGGGGGACAGCUCUAAAGAUCAGGGGUACAACCCUUUCUGAGAGAAAAGGAAUUUUUUUUUCAGUACGCCUUAAAGCAGCACCAACAAAAAUAGCGUCUAAGCAUGGUAGAAAAAGAUACCUCUACUAACUACAACCUCCAGCAAGAAAAAGAACAACUCUAUACACCAUAGAGACUCUAAUGUUAAAACUACUAAUAAGGGAGUUUUCCUACUAGCACAUCCACCGCUCAUACAUUGACAGCUAACAGACCACAAAAGGACAAGAGCUAUGUUAUUCACUAGCCCUAUACACACUGUAAACUCGACUCUGAUGUGCAAAGAUAUAAUUAAAAGCUUCAGAAGGAACUCGGCAAACAUAAACCCCAACUGUUUACCAAAAACAUAGCCUUUAGCCAGACAAGUAUUAAAGGUAACGCCUGCCCAGUGAUUUCAUUCAACGGCCGCGGUAUCCUAACCGUGCAAAGGUAGCGUAAUCAUUUGUCUACUAACUAUAGACCAGUAUGAAAGGUCAUAUGAGGGUUUUACUGUCUCCUGAAGUCAAUUUAUAAAACUGAUCUUCUAGUUCAAAAGCUAGAAUACUGACAUAAGACGAGAAGACCCUGUGAAGCUUUAAAAACUUCACUAACCCAGUAGUGAAUAUUUUUAGUUGGGGCAACUUUGGAAAAAAACCUAACUUCCAAAAGGCAUUGCCUUGUAAGACUAACAAGUCAAUCAUGACCCAGUACAACUGAUAAAUGAACCAAGUUACUCCAGGGAUAACAGCGCAAUCUUCUUCAAGAGCCCAUAUCAAAAAGAAGGUUUACGACCUCGAUGUUGGAUCAGGACACCCAAACGGCGCAGUCGCUGUUAAAGGUUCGUUUGUUCAACG
rnacentral:rRNA from 1 species